AGGGACGAGAGAUGCGGAUACGUUGGCCUAUAACGCUGCGUUAGGCCUUCCACGUGUCUCCUAAAGGCUGAACCCACUACGCCGUCCCAUCCAAUUGCCUGUGCAGAUAAUUUCCUUCCAUCCUUUUCUCUAAUCCCCCCUCCUAUUAUUGUGAUACGACAAGCCAUCGGAAGACCACGGAAGAGGGUCUCUCUUGCAUCUCCCAUAUAUGGAACUGCCCACGCUAAGAGGAGAGUAUGGUCACGUAUGUGCACGAAGUCGGAAUUGGCUCUCAGGGGCAAAAAGCAAAAGGAAAAGCAGAAGCGAGAUGAUUCAUGGUUGUUGCCACGGAGGACUGAGCUGGCUGAGCUAUAGUUGAUGGUGGAAAGAUAAUGGCGGGGUGACUCAUGACGUCAAGAGGCUCACCAGAGACCUCAAUGGGAUUCACAACAGCCGGAUCUAUGGCCGAAUCUCCGAGAGCAUCCUGAAAUAUCAUAAAUCGAGAAAUUUCAUUUGUCGGGACCUUUCGAUAGAAGAUCUUUCAAUGCCUAAGUUAGAUUACUCCGAUGGAAUAGAAGAGAUUCAGAAUAGAAGUAGACAGAG
rnacentral:lncRNA from 1 species